rnacentral:rRNA from 1 species
UGGGGAAUAUUGCACAAUGGGCGCAAGCCUGAUGCAGCCAUGCCGCGUGUGUGAAGAAGGCCUUCGGGUUGUAAAGCACUUUCAGCGGGGAGGAAGGCGAUAAGGUUAAUAACCUUGUCGAUUGACGUUACCCGCAGAAGAAGCACCGGCUAACUCCGUGCCAGCAGCCGCGGUAAUACGGAGGGUGCAAGCGGUAAUCGGAAUUACUGGGCGUAAAGCGCACGCAGGCGGUCUGUCAAGUCGGAUGUGAAAUCCCCGUUCUCAACCUGUGAACUGCAUUCGAAACUGGCAGUCUAGAGUCUUGUAGAGUGGGGUAGAAUUCCAGGUGUAGCGGUGACAUGCGUAGAGAUCUUGAGGAAUACCGGUGGCGAAGGCGGCCCCCUGGACAAAGACUGACGCUCAGGUGCGAAAGCGUGGGGAGCAAACAGG